ACCCGCUGAACUUAAGCAUAUCAAUAAGCGGAGGAAAAGAAACCAACAGGGAUUGCCCUAGUAACGGCGAGUGAAGCGGCAACAGCUCAAAUUUGAAAUCUGGCGCAAGCCCGAGUUGUAAUUUGUAGAGGAUGCUUCUAGGUAGCGACCGGUCUAAGUUCCUUGGAACAGGACGUCAUAGAGGGUGAGAAUCCCGUAUGUGACUGGCCCGCACCUUCUACGUAGCUCCUUCGACGAGUCGAGUUGUUUGGGAAUGCAGCUCUAAAUGGGAGGUAAAUUUCUUCUAAAGCUAAAUACCGGCCAGAGACCGAUAGCGCACAAGUAGAGUGAUCGAAAGAUGAAAAGCACUUUGGAAAGAGAGUUAAAAAGCACGUGAAAUUGUUGAAAGGGAAGCGCUCACAACCAGACUUCUAGGCAGUGUUCCGCCGGUCUUUUGACCGGUCUACUCUCUGUCUCGAGGCCAACAUCAUCUGGGACCGCCGGAUAAGACCUUAGGAAUGUAGCUCCCCUCGGGGAGUGUUAUAGCCUCUGGUGAUGCGGCGCGUCUCGGGUGAGGUCCGCGCUUCGGCAAGGAUGUUGGCGUAAUGGUUGUCAGCGGCCCGUCUUGAAACACGGACCAAGGAGUCUAACAUCUAUGCGAGUGUUCGGGUGUCAAACCCCUACGCGUAAUGAAAGUGAACGGAGGUGGGAAGCGUAAGCUGCACCAUCGACCGAUCCUGAUGUCCUCGGAUGGAUUUGAGUAAGAGCAUAGCUGUUGGGACCCGAAAGAUGGUGAACUAUGCCUGAAUAGGGUGAAGCCAGAGGAAACUCUGGUGGAGGCUCGCAGCGGUUCUGACGUGCAAAUCGAUCGUCAAAUUUGGGUAUAGGGGCGAAAGACUAAUCGAACCAUCUAGUAGCUGGUUCCUGCCGAAGUUUCCCUCA
rnacentral:rRNA from 1 species